rnacentral:rRNA from 1 species
UACAGAGACUGCAAGCGUUAUUCGGUUUCACUGGGCGUAAAGCGUGCGCAGGCGGUUAUGCAAGGCCGAUGUGAAAUCCCCGGGCUCAACCUGGGAACUGCAUUUGUGACUGCAUGGCUAGAGUGCGGCAGAGGGGGAUGGAAUUCCGCGUGUAGCAGUGAAAUGCGUAGAUAUGCGGAGGAACACCGAUGGCGAAGGCAAUCCCCUGGGCCUGCACUGACGCUCAUGCACGAAAGCGUGGGGAGCAAACAGG